AUGCUUUUUGGGCAGCACCUAUAUUAAAAUCAGAAUGAUACAGAGAAGAUUAGCAUGGCCCCUGGGCAAGGAUGACAUGCAACUUAGUUUUCCCAGCACCAUUUGU